GUUAAGCGACUAAGCGUACACGGUGGAUGCCCUGGCAGUCAGAGGCGAUGAAGGACGUGCUAAUCUGCGAUAAGCGUCGGUAAGGUGAUAUGAACCGUUAUAACCGGCGAUUUCCGAAUGGGGAAACCCAGUGUGUUUCGACACACUAUCAUUAACUGAAUCCAUAGGUUAAUGAGGCGAACCGGGGGAACUGAAACAUCUAAGUACCCCGAGGAAAAGAAAUCAACCGAGAUUCCCCCAGUAGCGGCGAGCGAACGGGGAGCAGCCCAGAGUCUGAAUCAGUGUGUGUGUUAGUGGAAGCGUCUGGAAAGGCGCGCGAUACAGGGUGACAGCCCCGUACACAAAAAUGCACAUACUGUGAGCUCGAUGAGUAGGGCGGGACACGUGGUAUCCUGUCUGAAUAUGGGGGGACCAUCCUCCAAGGCUAAAUACUCCUGACUGACCGAUAGUGAACCAGUACCGUGAGGGAAAGGCGAAAAGAACCCCGGCGAGGGGAGUGAAAAAGAACCUGAAACCGUGUACGUACAAGCAGUGGGAGCACGCUUAGGCGUGUGACUGCGUACCUUUUGUAUAAUGGGUCAGCGACUUAUAUUCUGUAGCAAGGUUAACCGAAUAGGGGAGCCGAAGGGAAACCGAGUCUUAACUGGGCGUUAAGUUGCAGGGUAUAGACCCGAAACCCGGUGAUCUAGCCAUGGGCAGGUUGAAGGUUGGGUAACACUAACUGGAGGACCGAACCGACUAAUGUUGAAAAAUUAGCGGAUGACUUGUGGCUGGGGGUGAAAGGCCAAUCAAACCGGGAGAUAGCUGGUUCUCCCCGAAAGCUAUUUAGGUAGCGCCUCGUGAAUUCAUCUCCGGGGGUAGAGCACUGUUUCGGCAAGGGGGUCAUCCCGACUUACCAACCCGAUGCAAACUGCGAAUACCGGAGAAUGUUAUCACGGG
rnacentral:rRNA from 1 species